UGGCGAUGAGGACAAACCACAGCUAUGAUUCACAGUGAUUCACCUAUACGCUAUUCUGAGCCAAAC